GUCAUGCAGAUGAGGAGACACGAGUUUAUAUGUAAUUUGCAUGUGGGGCAUUUUCGUGAUGUCAUACUCCAUUUCACCUUGGACAUCAGAUUCACCCC